rnacentral:rRNA from 1 species
GUGGGGAAUAUUGGACAAUGGGCGAAAGCCUGAUCCAGCCAUGCCGCGUGUGUGAAGAAGGUCUUCGGAUUGUAAAGCACUUUAAGUUGGGAGGAAGGGUAGUAACCUAAUACGUUGCUACUUUGACGUUACCGACAGAAUAAGCACCGGCUAACUUCGUGCCAGCAGCCGCGGUAAUACGAAGGGUGCAAGCGUUAAUCGGAAUUACUGGGCGUAAAGCGCGCGUAGGUGGUUCAGUAAGUUGGAAGUGAAAUCCCCGGGCUCAACCUGGGAACUGCUUUCAAAACUGCUGAGCUAGAGUACGGUAGAGGGUGGUGGAAUUUCCUGUGUAGCGGUGAAAUGCGUAGAUAUAGGAAGGAACACCAGUGGCGAAGGCGGCUCACUGGACUGGUAUUGACGCUGAGGUGCGAAAGCGUGGGGAGCAAACAGGAUUAGAAACCCUAGUAGUCC